rnacentral:rRNA from 1 species
GACGAACGCUGGCGGCGUGCUUAACACAUGCAAGUCGAACGGAAAGGCCCUUUCGGGGGUACUCGAGUGGCGAACGGGUGAGUAACACGUGGGUGAUCUGCCCUGCACUUUGGGAUAAGCCUGGGAAACUGGGUCUAAUACCGGAUAGGACUACGCGAUGCAUGUCGUGUGGUGGAAAGCUUUUGCGGUGUGGGAUGGGCCCGCGGCCUAUCAGCUUGGUGGUGGGGUGAUGGCCUACCAAGGCGACGACGGGUAGCCGGCCUGAGAGGGUGUCCGGCCACACUGGGACUGAGAUACGGCCCAGAGUCCUACGGGAGGCAGCAGUGGGGAAUAUUGCACAAUGGGCGCAAGCCUGAUGCAGCGACGCCGCGUGAGGGAUGACGGCCUUCGGGUUGUAAACCUCUUUCAAUAGGGACGAAGCGCAAGUGACGGUACCUAUAGAAGAAGCACCGGCCAACUACGUGCCAGCAGCCGCAGUAACAC